GACAGAGGGUGCAAACGUUGUUCGGAAUUACUGGGCGUAAAGCGUGUGUAGGCGGUCCACUAAGUCGGGUGUGAAAGCCCUGGGCUCAACCCAGGAAGUGCACUCGAAACUGGCGGUCUAGAGUAUCGGAGAGGUUGGUGGAAUUCUCGGUGUAGAGGUGAAAUUCGUAGAUAUCGAGAGGAACACCGGUGGCGAAGGCGGCCAACUGGACGAAUACUGACGCUGAGACACGAAAGCGUGGGGAGCAAACAGG
rnacentral:rRNA from 1 species